CAGCAGCCGCGGUAAUACAGAGGGUGCGAGCGUUAAUCGGAUUUACUGGGCGUAAAGCGUGCGUAGGCGGCUUCUUAAGUCGGAUGUGAAAUCCCUGAGCUUAACUUAGGAAUUGCAUUCGAUACUGGGAAGCUAGAGUAUAGGAGAGGAUGGUAGAAUUCCAGGUGUAGCGGUGAAAUGCGUAGAGAUCUGGAGGAAUACCGAUGGCGAAGGCAGCCAUCUGGCCUAAUACUGACGCUGAGGUACGAAAGCAUGGGGAGCAAACAGGAUUAGAUACCCCGGUAGUCCCUGUCUCUUAUAC
rnacentral:rRNA from 1 species